CUUGGGAUUCUCUUUCUCUCCCUUGCUCUCUGCCCCUCCCCCACUCACGCUGUCUCUGUCUCUCUCAAAAUAAAUAAAUAAACUUAAAAAAACUAUGUAUCUAAAAAAUAGCCAAAAUAGCAAAUUGGAUGUGAACGAGACAGAAAGUUAAUUUUAAGAUGAUUGCUUAGAAGAAUUCAUAGGAUUUCUGAAUCUGGUCAAGAUGGAGUAACUAGAAUCAAAUUUAUCCUCCCGUUUGAAACAACCAAACAAUAGACAAAAAUACAUGGAGCGGUGGUUUGCGAGAACUAGAUAUCAGAUCAUGAAAGGUAAUGAUCACUGAGAAGUGAGAAUUCUUCCCAAACCUAGGUGAGCCCCAUAAUUUACCCCAGCAUACUUCUUCAAGAAAGUUCCCAGACCAUGGCAUGGGGAGGGGAAAUUUAAACUCACCCCGGAAAACUUUCCAAGCUGAAAAGAUGUAGCUGAGAGUCAGGGAAGUCAAGGCAACUGAAAUUGGCAGGGCAGAGUACUGCAGAGAAGAGAGAGAACUCAGGAGAUUUGCAAAGAGGCUCCAGCAAGAAUUUAGGUGACUACCCAUCAAUGCUUGCAUGUGGGAAAAUACCCAAGACCAGGGAAAGACCCACCCAAAAGAAUUAGAGGUGAUAGUUACCUAUGCACAUAGAGGACUAGGAAUGAUGCUUAUUCCCACCAGCCAGACUAGAAAAACCUCACUGUUCACAGAGCAUUUGCUAUAGCACAUGUCAGAAACUGUAACAGGAUAUGAGAUUUUAUUUUAUUUGCAAGCCAACAAGCAGCCAUGAAGGCUGGUGGAAGACACAAGACUCCUAAGCAUGAGAGGAGGAGUGUAUUGAUUAUUUAGAGAAAUCACAGUAGCAAGAGUAUCUGCUGUUUUUCUAACAAUUCUCUGAGUCCCAGUUCCCCCAGGGUGACUCAAAGAAGGCUAGAUGAGCCUUGCACAUGUGGUGAGUUGCCUUAUAGGAGAGAAACUUGAGCUAUUUCCGGUAACAUCGAAAAGUGUGAAACAGGGAUAAAAGGUGUGAAAGACCUACCUGUGCACUGAAGACUACUGAGCGUUGCCGAACAAAUUUAAGGAAGAGCCUCCAAAGUGAAGACGUACACCAUGUUCACAGGACUGGUGUUUUUAAAAGAAGAGGAAGAGACACCAGGGAUGCAUGCACGCGGAGAAAAGACCAUGUGAGGACACAUAAGAAGGUGGCCAUUGAUAAGUCAAAGAGAGACGCCUCAGGAGAAACCACCGUGCUGGCACCUUGCAGCCUCCAGAACUGUGAGAAAAUAAAGAGAGAGCGAGAGCACAACCGACUGAACCACCAGGCACCACAUCUUCCGUCUGUCUUUACCCAGCUGGCAGCCAUUCUUGAUGUCGACCAGGAUUCACGCUCCUAGAUGUCGCAUGACUUGGAAUACAUUUGAGCUGCCUCUCCUGGAGUGGACGCUGUUUGGAUCGAUGCUAACCCGCAGCUUCGGGAGUUGGGCUGCUGGCCCUUCUUUGUUAGGAGGCAGGAUUUGAAGCCAAUAUUCACAAGAUGAAGUUUGGAUGAAGAGCAACACAAGAGGGUAUAAAACACUGUCACAUUUUUUCAUGCCAGAAAAUAUUUCUUCCUCGUAUUAUUUCUUUAAAUAGCUCUUCACAAUAAGCAACCUCGGGGAAUAACAAGUGCAGAAAAGAAGAACCGGGCCAAGCACAGGUAUUUAAUAUCUAUCCACCCACCUACCCACCCGUCUGUCCCUUUCCUCUCAUUACAUUUAAUUAUAUUUUUAUGAGGAUUACCAAAUUAAAAAAAUUAUUUAUUAUGCCCCCAGUAGAUGUGCCCAUAGGCAAUUUUGACCUAUUUUGCUCCAUUUCAGCUCCUAACAGAAAUUCAGCGCAUGAUUUAUUAAUAAGACCCUGUUUGCUCUGAGUCGUCGUUUUAUCUCCCAAAGAGUACGUAGUAGGAACAGUUGAGCCUGCAAGGAGAGGGUGUUCCUGUGCCUUUCCUGGAGUAUGGCGACUGGCUACCGUUGAGAAUCUUUGUGUGCAGUUACCGAUGCAAUGUGUGCCUGAAGUCACUGCCCGAUCCUGCCACAUAGGGAAGUGUGAGGAAAUGUCAGCCCAUGGCCGAGUCUCUGCGUCACCACGGCCCCGGAUAGCAGUCUCCCCAAGCUUUGCUCAUUUUUCAAAAUGCCCAAGGAGAGCGAGGAGAGAAAACAAGAAUCGGGGAAAAGGAUGCCUGGAAUAAUCUAACUUUCAGUUACGUCAUAUUACAACCCAUAAUAAUAAAAGUGUAAAGGACAAUGCAAUUUCUCCAGGAGAUUAAUAGGCAUUUGAGGGCCUUUUAAGAAAAGAAUAAUGUUUGAUCUAAUGCCCCCAAACAGUAGGAGAUACUGUAACUCAGUGUUGGGCCAAAUGCUUCAUCUGAGCUCUGCACACUUCACGGUGAGUCUCUGACUUUUACAUUAAUUUCCACGAAUGGCCACGCAGAUCCUGUGUUUUAAAUCCUCGUGCAGACCCGGAUGAAAGCGAACACUAGCUCCUAGAGUCACCUAGUCCUUCUCUGUGGAAUCAUUUCUAAUUGAAUGUUAAGAUCAAAGUUUAAGUUUAUAAGAAAGAAAAACAAGUGCAGAUAAAUAGUUAUUAUCUGACACCCUUAUGAAAAUUCAUGACCUGCACUUUUAUCAGAGACCUUAUAAGAAUUCUAAUUGUGAAGUAUGCGGAGCCAUUAAAUGGCGAGUACGCUUCAGUCUCUUGAUAAGAAGUGAGUUAAAUAAUUGUCCUGUUUAACUUGUGCUUGUUAACCUUUAAGGUCAACUAGUUUGAACAUACGUUUAAUGAAAUCCUGGAGCCAGAAUUUAUGAUACUGCUGCCGAAUGCUAAAUUGGACAAUUUACAUAAGCAGGACAUUAACCUUCUGAGCACUAAAUAGCAUUUUAGCACUUAGCCGCUGGGGACAAUAAGGGACAUGUUCUAUAUAUUUGUGAUUAGCUUGCCUGGAAACUCUCAUGAUGACCAAUUGGCCUACCAAGUUUAGCAGCAUAAUUAAAUGAAUGGACUCAGCCUAAGUAAAUUAUCAGUGCUGUGUACAGUAUAUCAUUAUAGUCCAAAGGAAAAAAAAAAGAUAUGAAUAAUUUAAUAAUACAUUACUAAUUUAUCAAUGCUAAGUGACUUUGAGGAGGCUCUUUGCAGUUCAUUGUUUUAAAUUUGAUAUUUGAUUUAUUGCUCGCGUGAUUAAAAUUGAGCCUGUUUCAUUUCUUACUAGAAGUAUAUAGAAGCAGUAGAUUUUAUUUUAUUUCAUUUCAUCUCAUUUCAUUUUAUUGAGGUGAGACUGGUGGUGUUUCCUGCUUUGGUGAUAUUACAAAAUACCUCCUACUGUGCACUGAUUAGCAGCCAUAUUGCUUGCCACUAGAGAAACAAUAGUUUCAGAAUAUUUUCCAAAGGACGCAAAUGAUUACAUGGCCCUCUUCUUUUUUUUUUUUUUUUAAUUUUUU